GGGAAUGUAGCUCAGUGGCAGAGCACUUGGUUAGUAUGUGUGAGACUCUGGGUUUGAUCCCCAGCACAACCA
rnacentral:tRNA from 1 species